AUUGAACGCUGGCGGCAGGCCUAACACAUGCAAGUCGCACGAGUGGCGGACGGGUGAGUAAUGUCUGGGAAACUGCCUGAUGGAUGGGGAUAACUACUGGAAACGGUAGCUAAUACCGCAUACCAUCGGAUGUUCCCAGAUGGGAUUAGCUAGUAGGUGGGGUAACGGCUCACCUAGGCGACGAUCCCUAGCUGGUCUGAGAGGAUGACAAGCAAAACUGGAAAUGAGACACGGUCCAGACUCCUAAGGGAGGCAGCAGGGGGGAAUAGUGCAAAAUGGGCGAAAGCCUGAUGCAGCCAUGCCGCGGGUAUGAAGAAGGCCUUCGGGUUGGAAAGUACUUGCAGCGGGGAGGCGUUACCCGCAGAAGAAGCACCGGCUAACUCCGUGCCAGCAGCCGCGGUAAUUC
rnacentral:rRNA from 1 species